AUACGUAGGGUGCAAGCGUUAAUCGGAAUUACUGGGCGUAAAGCGUGCGCAGGCGGUUUUGGAAGACAGUGGUGAAAUCCCCGGGCUCAAACUGGGAACUGCCAUUGUGACUGCAAGGCUGGAGUGCGGCAGAGGGGGAUGGGAUUCCCGGUGUAAGGGUGUAAAGCGUAGAUAUGCGGAGGAACACCGAUGGCGAAGGCAAUCCCCUGGGCCUGCACUGACGCUCAUGCACGAAAGCGUGGGGAGCAAACAGGAUUAGAUACCCUGGUAGUCCACGCCCUAAACGAUGUCAACUGGUUGUUGGGGAUUUAUUUUCUCAGUAACGAAGCUAACGCGUGAAGUUGACCGCCUGGGGAGUACGGCCGCAAGGUUAAAACUCAAAGGAAUUGACGGGG
rnacentral:rRNA from 1 species